AUUGAACGCUGGCGGCAGGCCUAACACAUGCAAGUCGAACGAGUGGCGGACGGGUGAGUAAUGUCUGGGAAACUGCCUGAUGGAGGGGGAUAACUACUGGAAACGGUAGCUAAUACCGCAUACUAUCAGAUGUGCCCAGAUGGGCUUAGCUAGUGGGUGGGGUAACGGCUCACCAAGGCGACGAUCCCUAGCUGGUCUGAGAGGAUGACCGGACACACUGGAACUGAGACACGGUCCAGACUCCUACGGGUGGCAGCAGUGGGGAAUAUUUCACUAUGGGCGCAAGCCUGAUGCAGCCAGGCCGCGUGUAUGAGGAAGGCCUUCGGGUUGUAAAGUACUUUCAGCGGGGAGGCGUUACCCGCAGAAGAAGCACCGGCUAACUCCGUGCCAGCAGCCGCGGUAAUUC
rnacentral:rRNA from 1 species